AACGAACGCUGGCGGCAGGCUUAACACAUGCAAGUCGAACGGGCGUAGCAAUACGUCAGUGGCGCACGGGUGAGUAACGCGUGGAUAUCUGCCUUCUGGUUCGGGAUAACCUUGGGAAACUAGGCUAAUACCGGAUGGUUCCUACGGGAUAAAGAUUUAUCGCCAGAAGAUGAGUCCGCGUACGAUUAGCUAGUUGGUGAGGUAAAUGGCUCACCAAGGCGACGAUCGUUAGCUGGUCUGAGAGGACGAUCAGCCACACUGGGACUGAGACACGGCCCAGACUCCUACGGGAGGCAGCAGUGGGAAUUUUGGACAAUGGGCGCAAGCCUGAUCCAGCAAUGCCGCGUGCAGGAUGAAGGCCUUCGGUUGUAAACUAGCUUUGUACGGUAACGAAACGGU
rnacentral:rRNA from 1 species